CCUACGGGAGGCAGCAGUGGGGAAUAUUGCACAAUGGGCGAAAGCCUGAUGCAGCGACGCCGCGUGAGGGAUGACGGCCUUCGGGUUGUAAACCUCUUUCAGCAGGGAAGAAGCGAGAGUGACGGUACCUGCAGAAGAAGCGCCGGCUAACUACGUGCCAGCAGCCGCGGUAAUACGUAGGGCGCAAGCGUUGUCCGGAAUUAUUGGGCGUAAAGAGCUCGUAGGCGGCUUGUUGCGUCGGUUGUGAAAGCCCGGGGCUUAACCCCGGGUCUGCAGUCGAUACGGGCAGGCUAGAGUGUGGUAGGGGAGAUCGGAAUUCCUGGUGUAGCGGUGAAAUGCGCAGAUAUCAGGAGGAACACCGGUGGCGAAGGCGGAUCUCUGGGCCAUUACUGACGCUGAGGAGCGAAAGCGUGGGGAGCGAACAGGGAUUAGAUACCCUGGUAGUCCACGCCGUAAACGUUGGGAACUAGGUGUUGGCGACAUUCCACGUCGUCGGUGCCGCAGCUAACGCAUUAAGUUCCCCGCUGGGGAAUCGGCCGCAAGGCAAAACUCAAAUAAUUGACGGNNGAGAGAGCGACGACGACGACGAGGAGAG
rnacentral:rRNA from 1 species